UCAGUCGAUGAAUUCUUCCUUGUGAGAAACAAUUUCCUUUUGAAUUUUACUCAAUUAUUUGACUUGAAGCAGUUGAACUACAUGAACAUAUGAGCAAGAGACUUCCUAGACCAUACUCUUCAACAUGUUCUUCUAAGUUAUCCAUGAGCAUGUGGACUUAACUUUUAUCUAGCCCAAGUAUUGUUCAAAAUUCAAGAAACUUGAUGGAAACUUAAAAAAGCAUAAACUAAAGAAAAUUUACGUUCAUCUUAGGGUCUUUGUUGUUAGUCCCUAUUACGCCCAAGAGCUCGUCUCAGGAGAAGACAAAGGUAGUUAAACUGCACGAUAUUAUACGAGUGAUUGGCAUCAUUGAAAUUAUGAAUAGGAUGGAUGUUCAGGAGUGGAAUCCAAAAGAUAAAUAUAUUGAUGCCAACUAUGACGAAAAAACUAGGGAAGAGCUCUAAAUAAAGAAGCAUUGCAAGCAGAAGUUGGAUCGCUUGUAGAUAGGAACAUGCCUAUCAUAGUUUUCAUUGGGAGACUGGAAGAGCAAAAGGGGAACUAGAAAGAAGAAGAUGGAGAAGCAACUUGAGGAAUUAGAAGAGAAAUAUCCAACAAAGACCCGAGCAGUUGAUAAGUCCAAUGUCCUGCUGGCCUCUGUGAUGAUAGCGGAUGCUGAUUAUAUUGUCAUCCAAGCAAAUUUGAACCAUGUGGCAUGAUUCAUUUGUAAGGUAAGUGUUAUUGAAAGGAAUUAUUAUGUUGUUAGUAUGGAGAUGAUGUCAUGGGAGCACUAGUCGUAGGAAUGGAGCUGCAACCAAUGACGAGGAUGAUACGAAUGAGGAAGAAGAUCUCAAUUAGUGAGUUUUAUCAUUUCGUAUCUUGGACAUGUAUGGGAGAUGUGCACUUUUUCAUCUCGAUUAUUUGUAGUGGUACCUUAUAUAUCUUACACUUUUUUUUAGGAUUGUGACGUGUUUGUUGGAUUUUAUAGUAUUCUAUAUCCUAGACUUGUUUGUGGAUACUAUAAACAUGUUCCUCUUAGGGAAAUAUGGAUUAUUUUAUUUGAUUAGAUUGUGAAAUUAGAAUUUUUUUUAUAUUGUGUAUCUUGGAUGUAUGAGAUCUUUUGUGUGUGGAUUAUGGAUGCACUUGAGUGAGGUAUAUGUAGAC